GACGAACGCUGGCGGCGUGCUUAACACAUGCAAGUCGAACGGUGAAGCGCCUUCCUUUUUGGUGGGUGUGGAUGAGUGGCGAACGGGUGAGUAACACGUGAGUAACCUGCCCCCUUCUUCUGGAUAACCGCAUGAAAGUGUGGCUAAUACGGGAUAUUCUGGGUCUGUCGCAUGAUGGGUCUGGGAAAGAUAUUGUUUCGGUGGGGGAUUGGCUCGCGGCCUAUCAGCUUGUUGGUGGGGUGAUGGCCUACCAAGGCGGGGACGGGUAGCCGGCCUGGGAGGGUGGACGGUCACACUGGGACUGAGGCACGGCCCAGACUCCUACGGGAGGCAGCAGUGGGGAAUAUUGCACAAUGGGCGCAAGCCUGAUGCAGCGACGCCGCGUGAGGGAUGGAGGCCUUCGGGUUGUGAACCUCUUUCGCCAGUGAAGCAGGCCUGCCUCGUUUGUGGGUGGGUUGACGGUAGCUGGAGAAGAAGCGCCGGCUAACUACGUG
rnacentral:rRNA from 1 species